rnacentral:rRNA from 1 species
GAUGAACGCUGGCGGCGUGCCUAAUACAUGCAAGUCGAGCGAACAGACGAGGAGCUUGCUCCUCUGACGUUAGCGGCGGACGGGUGAGUAACACGUGGAUAACCUACCUAUAAGACUGGGAUAACUUCGGGAAACCGGAGCUAAUACCGGAUAAUAUAUUGAACCGCAUGGUUCAAUAGUGAAAGACGGUUUUGCUGUCACUUAUAGAUGGAUCCGCGCCGCAUUAGCUAGUUGGUAAGGUAACGGCUUACCGAGGCAACGAUGCGUAGCCGACCUGAGAGAGAAGUGACCCACACGGAAAGGGAAACAGAAACCAAACACCUGGGGGGGGCAAAAGAGGGGUAUCUGACGCAGUGGGCGAAAAAUGAGGAGCACAGCACGGCGGGAGUAGUGAAAGUGUUAGGAACGUAAAACAGUUUAAUUGGGAAGAAAAAAAUGUGAAAAAAGCUAUGCAGUUUGUGACGGACCCAAGUAAAAAAGCCAGGGAUAACUACGUC